rnacentral:rRNA from 1 species
GCGCGUCUGUCCGGUAUCGUCCAAGUCUCCAUGAAUGGGGCCAGCAACCCAGAGAGGGUGUCAGGCCCGUGGGACGAGCCGCGACCGUGUAUUGGGUCUCUCCUUAGAGUCGGGUUGCUUGAGAGUGCAGCCCUAAGCGGGAGGUAAACUCCUUCUAAGGCUAAAUACGGCCACGAGACCGAUAGCGAACAAGUACCGCGAGGGAAAGUUGAAAAGAACUUUGAAGAGAGAGUUCAAUAGUGCGUGAAACCGUUCAGGGGGUUAAACGGGUGGGCCCUCGAAGGUCGAACGCCCCCUACUCCUGUUCCUGUAGCGCUGGCACGUGCUGCUUUUCGAUCUCGCUACGAGACGGAGCUUGGUGCGGUAUGCCGGACUGCAGGGGCCGCUAGUUAGGGGGCCAGUAGGACUCCGCAACCGGCUGGGUUUUAAGUCGUCAGAAGGGUUCUGGAGGAAGCCUCCUCUGGGGGUGAAAUCCGGGAUUCCGGGCGAUCUUCCCGGCCGUGAACCAGAAUUCCCCCGUCUGGCGUCUGGGACGAGUUCUGGCAACAGGACUGUCGGUUCUGGGCGUCACCGUGGGGACACCGCGGAGAGUAGAGUCGGGUCCCACCCGACCCGUCUUGAAACACGGACCAAGGAGUCUAACAUGUGCGCGAGUCGUCGGGUACUACUAAACCCGAAGGCGCAAUGAAAGUGAAGACUGUGCCUCGUCGCCGGUCUAGGGGAGAUCCCGUUCUGCUUCGGUAGCUCGGGCGCAUCCCCGGGGCGUCGAAGCCGCGUUGCCGGCUAGACGAACCAAGAGCGUACACGUUGGGACCCGAAAGAUGGUGACCUAUGCCUGGCCAG